GGAUGUGAGGGCAGUCUGACUGCAACAUCUGUCAUCCCAUUGAUUUUCAGGGUUGAUUUGCUGAUCUGGCUGGCUAGGCAGGUGUCCCCUUCCUCCCUCACUGCUCCAUGUGUGUCCCUCCUGAUUGAAGAGGACUGCCUUCCUGGAAUAAAGACAGAUAGGUCUUCGGUCAAGGGUAUACGAGUAGCUGAGUAGCUGUACUCCCUUGCUAGAUCCUUCAAACAAGCUUUCAGGACAGAGAAUGAGGAUGUGAAAGGAUAACAAUAGUGUGGCACCCUGAUGUGAAAGCUUAUGUUUGGUGCUUUGCUCA
ensembl:misc_RNA 7SK 7SK RNA